ensembl:lncRNA
GGGGCAGAGCGGAGAGGAGCAGAGCGGCCCUCUGCCGGGCUCGGUGCGGCCGCGCCCUGGUGGGUAUGGAAUGGAGCGAGCGCCGGGGCUGAAGUCAGCGACGGGAAACCGAGCGACAAAAACAGAAGGUCUCGGCGGCGUGCGGUACAGGAAGGCGCCCAGAGCUCAGGAGCAGCCGCGCUCAGCGGGUCUCGCAGAGCGGAGCGCUUCACGGAACCGCUGCCAGAGAGAGAACCCCGCGCGGAGCCGCCCCCGGGGCUGCAGCGCCGGCAGCGGGCGUGGGGGAAGGCAGAGCCGGGCCUGGGGCUUCGGGCACGCUUCCAUGUCUGACGCCGUUUUGUCAGACCGCCCCUCGGCGCCGUCUGCCACACGGCAGCGCGUCCGGAACGUUGGUGGGAAGAUUCAGCCUCUGCUGCCAUCCCACCAACGUCCACCUCUGAUAUCGUGGGCCAACGUCAUAGAAUAAGAGGCGUUACUUUCAGAGCAGCCCUCGCAUUUUAGACUUCUAUCAAAGAUCAGUAGUUAAUGGUUGCUUUGCAGUUGCAGCAACACUCGUGCUACAAAAGACUAAACGCAGCCAUUAGCAGCCCAGCCCACCAGCAGCAGUACCACAGGUGAAACCUAAUCACUACAAGCACAAGAGUGGCAGAAAAUUCACCACCACACGUAUGUAUGUCCCUGGUGCCUGGCUGCUCGCUUGCAAGCACUUGCGAGAUGGGUGGAGGUCAGCAGGCUUCAAAAGCAGUUGAAAACAAAAAGACAGUUCCUUCUUAAAGGAGAUCCAAUAGCAGGCAGUGCUGGGACACGAUCGCGGACACCAUGGUGUGGUUCCAGCUUGCCAGAAUGAAGGUACAGCGGGCAGCACUCAGCAUCGAAAGCAUGCAAGGGUUUCACAUCUGCAGAGCAGUUGGUCCAUCAAGGAGUUCUCUAUCCACCAACAGGAGAAAAAAGCACCAUGCUCCCCAGCAUUAGAAAGAGCUUGGCCAGUGUGGCAAGGGAAGUGAUUCCACCCCUCUGCUUUGCCCCAGUGAGGCCAUGUCUGGAGUACUGGGUCCAGUUCUGGGCUCCCCAGGCCAAGAAAGACAGGGAACUGCUGAGAGAGUCCAACGGAGGGCCACAGAGAUGAUGUGGGGCCUGGAGCAUCUCCCGUAUGAGGAAAGGCUGAGAGAGCUGGGGCAGUUCAGCCCAGAGAAGAGAAGGCUGAAGGGGGAAUCUUAUCAAUGCAUAUAAUUAUGUAGAGAGCAGGAGUGAAGUGGAUGGGGCCAGAUUCUUUUUGGUGGUGCCCAAUUCUUUGUGGUGGUGCCCAGCAACAGGAGAAGGGGCAAUGGGCACAAACACAGGAAGCUCUAUACAAACACAAGGAAGAACUUCUCUUGAAGAAUAACAGCACUGGCACAAGGCUGCCCAGAGAAGUUGUACAGUCUCCUUCUCUGAAUGUACUCAAAACCUGCCUGGAUGGUUACCUGUGCAACCUACUGUAGGGAACUGCUGGAGCGGGGGGUUGGACUCAGUGACCUCCAGAGAUCUCUUCCAACCCCUGCAAUUCUGUGGUUCUGUGAUCACUCUGAGAAGAGCACAUCUGAGGGACAAGAUGCUCAUGCAGCACAGGACUACUUGACAGAAGCAGUGGGAAGUAUUGUGUCAAGUUCAGCUGGCACAAAUAGAUGUGAGACAGUAACACCUGGGCAACUGCUUGAAAAAGGAUUUGCCAAACUGCUAGGAAAAAGCCAUCAGCUGUUGCUGCAGGUUAUACCACUGCACAAAUGGUAGGCAAAGACAGUAGUAGAGUAAGCAGGCACAGUAACUGGGAUCCUCAUUCCUCAGCCAUGGGCAGAACUAAUUUCAAAAGUGUGCUGAAGGCAGAACUGAGCCAAACACCUCUCUUAGUGGGACCACUGUACAUGGGAACAGCUCCAUCACGUCAGUGUGAAUGGGCCCCACUUUACACCUAGAAGAAAGCCAGGAUAUCCCCUAACGGAGCUGCACAGCUGUGGUUAUUAUCCUGACACUGCAACAUAAGCAAAGCAAACAAAAGUAAUGCUUAAGUGACAAUGCAAGAAAGAAACUGGAGACUGGAUUCCUCACCAAAGCCACUGGAAG